UAGGGAAUCUUCCGCAAUGGACGCAAGUCUGACGGAGCAACGCCGCGUGAGUGAAGAAGGUUUUCGGAUCGUAAAACUCUGUUGUUAGAGAAGAACAAGUGCUAGAGUAACUGUUAGCGCCUUGACGGUAUCUAACCAGAAAGCCACGGCUAACUACGUGCCAGCAGCCGCGGUAAUACGUAGGUCCCGAGCGUUGUCCGGAUUUAUUGGGCGUAAAGCGAGCGCAGGCGGUUUGAUAAGUCUGAAGUUAAAGGCUGUGGCUCAACCAUAGUUCGCUUUGGAAACUGUCAAACUUGAGUGCAGAAGGGGAGAGUGGAAUUCCAUGUGUAGCGGUGAAAUGCGUAGAUAUAUGGAGGAACACCGGUGGCGGAAGCGGCUCUCUGGUCUGUAACUGACGCUGAGGCUCGAAAGCGUGGGGAGCGAACAGGAUUAGAUACCCUGGUAGUCCACGCCGUAAACGAUGAGUGCUAGGUGUUGGGUCCUUUCCGGGAUUCAGUGCCGCAGCUAACGCAUUAAGCACUCCGCCUGGGGAGUACGACCGCAAGGUU
rnacentral:rRNA from 1 species